rfam:Bacillus sp. LF1 genome assembly, contig: CONTIG000001
UGGUGAUGUCUCCUCUCCGUUAUCAAUGGAGGCACUCGGUCAUGCUGUGGGUUUAAGAGACCUUAGACGCAGGUCGUCAAGAGUGUGAUGUGAGGGCGGGUUAGAUGCCCA